UCCAGAGGGAUAGCUCAGUCGGUAGAGCAUGAGACUCUUAAUCUCAGAGUCACGGGUUUGAACCCCAUGUUAGGAG